rnacentral:lncRNA from 1 species
GGACAAAUUACUUUAUUUUAAUCAAGGUGAGAAAACAACCGUGAAAAUACACUCACUUAUUCGAGACUCACUACAACAAGCAAUAUCUGACAGAGAUGGAUCUCAGCUCACUUUAACAAAACAGAUAGUAAACAAAUCAGAACAAAUUGAAGUCGUCAACUAGCUAAUCAUGAACAUAUGUUUCAAUGGAUCAAUAAUUUCAGCAUUUCGAAACGAGAUUCAUACCUGAUACACAACUAAAAUCGAAGAGAAAACUAGAACAAUUGGAUCUCGAACAUAAACCUUAACGAGACUGUCAACGACCUCGACGCUCACAUCAGAUAGGAAUCUGAAUUGAAAUUCAGAAGCAAACCAGAACUCGACAUGAAAAUCGAAUAGAUUCUAAUUUGAAAUGAGGAUGAAAUAGUCCGUUCAAUCCCUCUGUUCACCCUGUUUUUCAACUACCCUGUUUUCCCGUUCAUUUACUCCCUUUCUGUUUCGAUUUCAAUUCCCUUCCCUUGCUGUUGUUUUCGUUUUAGCUCAGAAGAGAGGUGAGAGCUCGUCGUGUGUGUGUUCGCUGCUGUGCAAUGAUGUGCGACUCGUGAGUUAUGGGUUUUGGUUUUUGAAUACCUUGACUGAAAUUGAUGAGUCCUUAGGUGUUUGUUCCAGUGGAGGAGAUGAACGGGAUGGGGAUGGUGGGUCUCUGGUCGAUUGGGGUGGUUGAAGAAGAUAGAUGGGGGAUCUCUUCUAUGAAUUCGAUGAAGAAGAAAACUUGAUAGGG